CGCUAGAAAUUUGAGUGGAUCUGACCCUAGUACGAGAGGACCGGGUUGGACCGACCGCUGGUGUACCUGUUGUUCCGCCAGGAGCAUUGCAGGGUAGCUAUGUCGGGAAGGGAUAAGCGCUGAAAGCAUAUAAGCGCGAAACCCACCACAAGAUGAGAUUUCUUUAAAGGGCCGUGGGAGACGACCACGUUGAUAGGCUAUAGGUGUAAAGGCAGUAAUGUCAUAGCCGAGUAGUACUAAUAACCCGU
rnacentral:ncRNA from 1 species